rnacentral:misc_RNA from 1 species
GAUGAAGAACGUAGCGAAAUGCGAUAAGUAAUGUGAAUUGCAGAAUUCAGUGAAUCAUCGAAUCUUUGAACGCACCUUGCGCUCCUUGGUAUUCCGAGGAGCAUGCCUGUUUGAGUGUCAUUAAUAUAUCAACCUCUUCAGCUUAUGCUUGUUGAGUGUUGGAUGGUGGGGGUUUGCUGGUGUCUUAUGAAGUCAGCUCCUCUGAAAUGCAUUAGCGGAACAAUUUGUUGACCGUUCAUUGGUGUGAUAAAAAUAUCUACGCUAUUGACGUCAGUCAGUUCAGCUUCUAACAGUCCAUUGACUUGGACAAAUUUUUCAUUAAUGUGACCUCAAAUCAGGUAGGACUACCCGCUGAACUUAAGCAUAUCAAUAAGCGGAGA